rnacentral:rRNA from 1 species
CAGCAGCCGCGGUAAUACCGGCGGCCCGAGUGGCGGCCACUAUUAUUGGGCUUAAAGCGUCCGUAGCCGGGUUGGUUAGUCUCCCGGGAAAUCUGGCCGCUUAACGGUCAGAAUUCCGGGAGAUACUGCCAGCCUAGGGACCGGGAGAGGCCGAGGGUAUUCCCGGAGUAGGGGUGAAAUCCUAUAAUCCCGGGAGGACCACCUGUGGCGAAGGCGCUCGGCUGGAACGGGUCCGACGGUGAGGGACGAAGGCCAGGGGAGCAAACCGGAUUAGAUGCCCGGGUAGUCCUGGCUGUAAACGAUGCGGACUUUGUGUCGGACAAGCUAUGAGCUUGUCCGGUGCCGGAGGGAAACCGUUAAGUCCGCCGCCUGGGGAGUACGGCCGCAAGGCUGAAACUUAAAGGAAUUGGCGGG